GACGAACGCUGGCGGCGUGCUUAACACAUGCAAGUCGAACGCUGAAGCUCAGCUUUUGUUGGGUGGAUGAGUGGCGAACGGGUGAGUAACACGUGAGUAACCUGCCUCCUUCUUUGGGAUAACGCCCGGAAACGGGUGCUAAUACUGGAUAUUCACUGGUCUUCGCAUGGGGGUUGGUGGAAAGGGUUUUUCUGGUGGGGGAUGGGCUCGCGGCCUAUCAGCUUGUUGGUGGGGUGAUGGCCUACCAAGGCUUUGACGGGUAGCCGGCCUGAGAGGGUGACCGGUCACAUUGGGACUGAGAUACGGCUCAGACUCCUACGGGAGGCAGCAGUGGGGAAUAUUGCACAAUGGGCGCAAGCCUGAUGCAGCGACGCCGCGUGAGGGAUGGAGGCCUUCGGGUUGUGAACCUCUUUCGCUCAUGGUCAAGCCGCAACAAUGGUUGUGGUGAGGGUAGUGGGUAAAGAAGCGCCGGCUAACUACGUG
rnacentral:rRNA from 1 species